rnacentral:rRNA from 1 species
AGAUUGAACGCUGGCGGCGUGCCUAACACAUGCAAGUCGAGCGGUAACAGGUGUAGCAAUACAUGCUGACGAGCGGCGAACGGGUGAGUAAUGCUUUGGAAUCUUCCCAGUAGUGGGGAAUAACCAGUCGAAAGAUUGGCUAAUACCGCAUACGUCUGUAAAGGGAAAGCGGGGGCUCGUAAGACCUCGCGCUAUUGGAUGAGCCAAAGUCGGAUUAGCUAGUUGGUGGGGUAAUGGCCUACCAAGGCGACAAUCCGUAGCUGGUCUGAGAGGACGACCAGCCACACCGGAACUGAGACACGGUCCGGACUCCUACGGGAGGCAGCAGUGGGGAAUAUUGGACAAUGGGGGAAACCCUGAUCCAGCGACGCCGCGUGUGUGAAGAAGGCCUGCGGGUUGUAAAGCACUUUUAGUGGGGACAAAAGCUACGGAUUAAUACUCUGUGGUCUUGAUUUAACCCAAAGAAAAGCACCGGCUAACUCUGUGCCAGCAGCCGC